GCGCGGAUUGGCCCUGCGGGCUCGGCCUUUUGUCAGCAGGCCGCACACGCGCCGGACCGGGUACCGCUGUGCCCGGCCUGGCCGCGGCCUAGUCCCGGCAGACGGGACUGACGAGGUCACCAAGCCCAGGCCGAGACGGCGCGGGUGUCAGGGACUUGGGAAUCCCCCUCCCCCAGUCCCGAUCCCGCUUUCCUUUGGGGUUUCACCUCAGAGGACCCGACAUCACUCUUGCAGUUUCCUCAUCAAGAUGGACUGCACCUUCUGGCAUCUCAAGUGGUUCUUGUGAAGAUUAAAUGAAUCCAUCAGGCCGGGCGCGGUGGCUCACACCUGUAAUCCCAGCACUUUGGGAGGCCGAGACGAGCACAUCACCUGAGGUCAGGAGUUCCAGACCAGCCUGGCCAACAUGGUGAAACCCCAUCUCUACUAAAAAUACAAAAAGUUAGCCAGGUGUGGUGGCUCAUGCUUGUAGUCCCAGCUACGUGGGAGGCUGAGGCAGGCGAAUCACUUGAACCCAGGAGGCGGAGGUUGCAGUGAGCCAAGAUUGUGCCAUUGCACUCCAGCCUGGGGGAUAGAGUGAGACUCCAUCUCAAAAAAAUAAAUAAAAAAAAAAAAAUGGAUCAAUCAGUUUAAAAACUUAGAACAGUGCGUGGCAAAUAGUGCUCAAGAAGAGUAGGCUUGUGAAACAUUCACAUGCAUCGUUUUAACGAACAAUGCUUCCCCAGACCUCCCCACAGAGUUGAUGCUCUGGAAAGAAAAGCCAGGCUUUUCUCUGAGGUUUUGCAUCUCCUUGGCCAAUGUGCUCAUGCCAGAGAAGAGCAGUGCAUGGCCAGUUUGAGGAGCACGGCCAUGUGACCUUGGACAGCCCCUGCCUCUCUCUAGGACUCACUCCCGGCUGCUAACCUCAGCUCUCUGAUCUGUACCACAAGGAGCUGCCACUAACACCUGUGUCAGAACUACUGUAAGGACCCUUUCCUCCUGGGAGAGGAGAACAGUGCUAAACCUGUCUGAACGUGAUAGACAUGCUACAAACUGCCAACCCUUUAGGCUAUAAACUGC
rnacentral:lncRNA from 1 species